GACAGAAUGGCCGAGUGGUCUAAGGCGCAACGUUAAGGCCGUUGUCCGAAAGGGCGUGGGUUCGAACCCCACUUCUGUCAAC
rnacentral:tRNA from 2 species